GACGAACGCUGGCGGCGUGCCUAACACAUGCAAGUCGAACGGAAAGGCCCCUUUGGGGGUACUAGAGUGGCGAACGGGUGAGUAACACGUCAGUAACCUGCCCUUGACUUCGGGAUAACUUCAGGAAACUGGGGCUAAUACCGGAUAGGAAUCCUUGCUGCAUGGUGGGGGUGGGAAAGCUUCGGAGGCUUUGGAUGGGCUUGCGGCCUAGCAGCUUUUUGGUGGGGUAGGGGCUUACCAAGGCUUUGACGGGGAGCCGGCCGGGGAGGGCGACCGGGCACAGUCGGACUGAGACUCGGCCCAGACUCCGACGGGUAGCAGCAGGGGGGGAGGUUGCACUAUGGGCGGAGGCCAGAUGCAGCAACGCCGCGGGCGGGUGGACGACCUUCGGGUUGGAAACCGCUUGCAGCAGGGGCGAAGCUGGUGGUGACGGUACCUGCAGAAGAAGCACCGGCUAACUACGUG
rnacentral:rRNA from 1 species